AUGGCCUGGACCCUGCUGCUGCCCCUGCUCACACUCUGCACAGGUCCUGUGGCCUCUUCAGACCCGACUCAGCCCCCAGCAGUGUCUGUGGCCCUGGGACAGACGGCCAGGAUCACCUGCCAGGGAGAACUGGUAGAAAAAGCUUAUCCUGUGUGGCUCCAGCAGAAGCCCGGCCAGGCCCCCGUGCUGGUCAUCUAUGGUGACAAAAACAGGACCUCAACGAUCCCUGAGCGAUUCUCUAGCUCUCACUCAGGGGACACGGACACCCUGACCAUCAGCGGGGCCCAGGCCCAGGACGAGGCCGACUAUUACUGUUCGGUGUGGGACAAGAAUGCUAAAGUGCACAGUCUCUGUGCUCUGCCUGUGCUGACCCAGCCCCCAUCUGCCUCUGCCGCCCCGGGGGCCUCGGUCAAGCUCACCUGCACCCUGAGCCGGGAGCACAGCAGCUACAUUAUUUGGUGGUAUCAGCAGAGAGCAGGACAGGCCCCUCGGUAUUUGAUGAAGGUUAACAGUGACGGAAGCACCAACAAGGGGGACGGGAUCCCCGAUCGCUUCUCGGGUUCCAGCUCUGGGGCCGACCGGUACUUAACCAUCAACAACAUCCAGUCUGAGGACGAGGCGGACUAUUACUGUGGUGAGAGUCACACAAUUGAUGGCCAGGAUGGUUAA